rnacentral:rRNA from 1 species
UACAGAGGUCUCAAGCGUUGUUCGGAUUCAUUGGGCGUAAAGGGUGCGUAGGCGGGUUGGUAAGUCCGUGGUGAAAUCCCCAAGCUUAACUUGGGAACUGCCGUGGAUACUAUCAAUCUUGAAUAUCGUGGAGGUAAGCGGAAUAUGUCAUGUAGCGGUGAAAUGCUUAGAUAUGACAUAGAACACCAAUUGCGUAGGCAGCUUACUACACGAUCAUUGACGCUGAGGCACGAAAGCGUGGGGAGCAAACAGG